AAAAAAAAAAACCGCCGCUCUGGGGCAGUGUUCGGACUCAGCUUGAGCGUUGGAGGACAGGAGAGGAAAAGGGGGAGGGGGAGGAAAGCUUCUUUCCGACGCCCCCUCCACCAACCUCCCCCGGCAGGGCAGCACCACUGACCUCAUUCGCCCAACUGUAUCCAGGCCUGCUGGGCUCCAGGCCAGUGGGGCGCUUCUCUCUCCACCUCCAGGGAAUUCGAGGGAUCCCCAAGCGCUCCGGGCGCCCCGGCCCGGGCCCGGUGGCCAGGACUCGGUAGAUCCAGUCGCCUCUGGUUGCUGAGUUAAUAAUCCGGGAAUGGGGGACAGGAUCAGUAGAGGGAGGGAGGGAAGGAGGGCGGACGCGGUGCGGGCGGCCGGCCGGGGGCU
rnacentral:lncRNA from 1 species